CAGUUGCAUGGAAUUCUGGUUUGGCUCUUUCUGGCUUAGUGGCUUAUAACCCUCACCAACACCAAAGGGCAAUUCUGUCAUCUCACUAGUUAUGUAUUUCAGUUUACACCUUUAAGUUUCAUAAUAAUCUGCCUUCCUUUUUUCUUCUUGCUUCCUCUUUUCUUUCACCAUUCAGGCUAGCUUCAAGUGUUCUUGGGUGCAGCUAGUAAUUAAGCGGCGGCUUUCAGUUUGUUCAUGGAUAUUGAUCCCCCGUGGGACAUUGGGGGGUGGGUGGUUUCAGCUUUCUUUAUUACUACUAGUACGUAUAGCAGUUUUCAGAAUCCUAAAAAACCCCAUGGCUUAUGGUGAAUCCUCAUCAUCAAGACCUAUUUUACUCCUCCUCCUCCUUCUUGCUCUGCUCAUACUCCUUCCUUCCCUUGUCCUUGGCGCUGAGAAAGAAGAUGAUCAUCAUCAUCUGCCGUCGCCCACCGCUGGUACUUCUGUUAAUGCUCCACAAGAAACCAGCACCAACGACUUACCGACCGGAACCAGCACUUCAAAUCGAGAGUUCAGAGCUGGGGAGCAUGAAGUGCCUAGCGGGCCGAACCCUGAAUCAAACUGAUAAGCAAUUAGUGUAAUCAUCUCUGCCUGCUGUCUUCUGGUUGUUGUUAUUCCUUAAUUGGUUGGUUUAAUUUACCGUGUAUGGUUUGUUGAUUUGGAUUACUAUCAUGUCCAUGAAUAUUAUAUGUUGGUAAGUAGCAAGCUAUAGAGAGAUCAUAUGCUUUGUUUAUAUGUAUGAUAUGGUGAUGGUUUGGUCAUCAGUACUGCACCAGGUUCAAGCGAGAUUUUGUUUGAUUAUUCCACUGAUUUUUAUUUUCUUUUAUAAUUAUGCGUUUGUGAAAGCGACGUUUACCCUUUGUUGAUCUUUUAUAUAUUUCAUCACCUACUCCUACCUCCUCUAUGUAAUCGGUCUGAAUUUUCUUCCAAUAAUUCAAAUUAUAGAGAUGUAUCGAUUCUUAACCUGCAG
rnacentral:lncRNA from 1 species